rnacentral:rRNA from 1 species
AGAGCGAACGCUGGCGGCAGGCCUAACACAUGCAAGUCGAGCGGCCGUAGCAAUACGGCAGCGGCAGACGGGAGAGUAACACGUGGGAACGCGCCCUUCGGUUCGGAAUAACUCAGGGAAACUUGGGCUAAUACCGGAUACGCCCUUACGGGGAAAGAUUUAUUGCCGAAGGAACGGCCCGCGUCCGAUUAGCUUGUUGGUGAGGUAACGGCUCACCAAGGCGACGAUCGGUAGCUGGUCUGAGAGGAUGACCGGCCUCACUGGGACUGAGACACGGCCCAGACUCCUACGGGAGGCAGCAGUGGGGAAUAUUGGACAAUGGGCGCAAGCCUGAUCCAGCCAUGCCGCGUGGGUGAUGAAGGCCCUAGGGUUGUAAAGCCCUUUCGGCGGGGAAGAGUAAUGACGGUACCCGCAGAAGAAGCCCCGGCUAACUUCGUGCCAGCAGCCGC